AUUGAACGCUGGCGGCAUGCCUUACACAUGCAAGUCGAACGGCAGCACGGGUGCUUGCACCUGGUGGCGAGUGGCGAACGGGUGAGUAAUACAUCGGAACGUACCUUAUCGUGGGGGAUAACGCAGCGAAAGCUGUGCGAAUACCGCUUACGCCCUUAGGGGGAAAGCGGGGGAUCGCAAGACCUCGCGCGAUUAGAGCGGCCGAUGCCUGAUUAGCUUGUUGGUGGGGUAAAAGCCCACCAAGGCGACGAGCAGUAGCUGGUCUGAGAGGGCGAUCAGCCACACUGGGACUGAGACACGGCCCAGACUCCUACGGGAGGCAGCAGUGGGGAAUUUUGGACAAUGGGGGCAACCCUGAUCCAGCAAUGCCGCGUGAGUGAAGAAUGCCUUCGGGUUGUAAAGCUCUUUCGUCAGGGAAGAAACACCGGCUCUAACACAGUCCGGGAAUGACGGUACCUGAAGAAUAAGCACCGGUUAACUACGUGCCAGCCGCCGCGGUAA
rnacentral:rRNA from 1 species